rnacentral:rRNA from 1 species
UACGUAGGGGGCAAGCGUUGUCCGGAUUCAUUGGGCGUAAAGAGCUCGUAGGUGGUUUGUCGCGUUGUUCGUGAAAACCGGGGGCUUAACCCUCGGCGUGCGGGCGAUACGGGCAGACUGGAGUACUGCAGGGGAGACUGGAAUUCCUGGUGUAGCGGUGGAAUGCGCAGAUAUCAGGAGGAACACCGGUGGCGAAGGCGGGUCUCUGGGCAGUAACUGACGCUGAGGAGCGAAAGCGUGGGGAGCGAACAGG